UACGUAGGGUGCGAGCGUUGUCCGGAAUCAUUGGGCGUAAAGCGCGUGUAGGCGGCCAGGUAAGUCCGUUCUGAAAGCCCGGGGCUCAACCCCGGGAGGCGGAUGGAUACUGCUUGGCUCGAGUCCGGAAGAGGCGAGUGGAAUUCCCGGUGUAGCGGUGAAAUGCGCAGAUAUCGGGAGGAACACCAAUGGCGAAGGCAGCUCGCUGGGACGGUACUGACGCUGAGACGCGAAAGCGUGGGGAGCAAACAGG
rnacentral:rRNA from 1 species